GUAAGUAUUGGGAAAACUGUCUCACAACAUGUGGAUGAUGAUGUUUUGUAUUUGUAUGUUUAAAACAGUGCCAGAGACGGAGGUGAAGGGAGCCCUCAUUGCUACCAUCACGUGCACUGACAACGACGUUCUGCCUUUAUUCAGUUUAUCUUUACUGAUCUCUCCUGUCUGGGUUGCAGUCACCUGUUUGACCUGAAAACCAAUCAGAUUGGUCUCCACCGAAAAACGCGCGGACAAAUAGGUGUGUAGUGCCUACAGCAGCCUCCCCCAGGUCCCAGUGCCCGUCAAGUAAGGAACCGUUGAUGAAAAAAUAGAAAUAAAAAAGAAAAUAUAUUGGCUGAUAUAUUGAUCUUCUUGGGCUGAAUAACCCUGGUGGGCCGGAUAACCCUGCUCACUCACCCUGACUAUGAGGACACGCAGACACGUGGUAAUCCUCAGAGUGGAGGAUGGAGAUCCCAUCAUGCCAUGCUCUGCUACAACCACUGUUCUCAUUAAUGUCACAGAUGCUAACGCUUCAUAUGACAUGACGUCUGCCUGAAAUUCCAUAUCAACCUUUAUAUAACUCCUCUGCGUUAGUGUGCUUGUUGCAAACUCUAUAGCAAUGGUCUUGUCUCAGUCCAUUUUGGCUUUUCACCGAGCGCAUGCUCAAACAUGAGCCGUCUGAUCCUGGUAGCACCAUUUGAUUUCAGCGGUGGGCUGGACACACGGUGGAGCUACAGACUCACAGCACUGAUUGCCGAUGCCAACCUUCAGUUAGGGCAAGACAGUGCCAGAGCCCCUCCUCAGACUGGCACUGUCAUUAUCAGUGUGCAAGUACUGUAGGUUUGCAUACAUUCAUAGCAAGCCUCUAAAGCAGGGGUGUCUAAUCUUAUCCGGAAAGGGCCAGUGUGGGUGCAAGUUUUCAUUCCAACCAAGCAGAAGCCACACCUGAGUCUAUUGAAAGCCAAGAACAACUGAUUAAACAGGUGGAUUCAGGUAUGCCUCCUGCUUGGUUGGAAUGAAAACAUGCACCCACACCGGCCCUUUGCGGAUAACAUUGGACACCCUUGCUCUAAAGCCAAGAAAAGUAGAUUUUUUUUGGGAGAAGUGAGAAGAAAUUGCAGGAACUCAGGGAGAUAAGGCAAAGUGAAGUCAUGUACUGACUGUGAGAAGUAAAAGGUUAUACUUGACUCCUUCUGAAACAGGUAACAAGAGUAACCAGAAGAUGGGACACUUGGUCCCAGAGUCACAAACAUCAAUGUGGAGAAGAACACAUUCAAUAGGCCCACAGGUGACUGGUAUGUAUGGUUUGUCAUUACACCGGUUGCUACGCGACGCCUUCCCGCAGGAGGUGACAAAGGUCAACACUGUGUUUAAUAGAGAGGAAGUAGAUCCUGUUACAAAGAGAGUGUACGAGUACAAUAGUAAAUCAGGUGCUCGAUGCUGAAAGAAUGCCAUCACUGUAUGCGAUUCUGCUCCAAUCCAGCCCAAGUCUAGCACUCUGGUCAUCUUGGACAAGACUAAUGCACUGUCAUCAUCAAGAUCUGGCUAGCUAGGGCACAGUUGCAUAGUGGUUCUGAACACUCCUUGAAAGGGAUCUAUACCCUAGGCUUGAGCUUUUUCAGCUCCUAAUUUGACUGACUUUCAUUUUAAUGUAGUUUUUAAAAUUUUUAAUUUUAACUCAUCAAAUAAAUAAAUUAAUAUUCAUUUUAUUCUUCAUAAAUCCUGGAAACCACAUUUCCACAUUGCAUUUUAGGAGAAAAACCACACAAAACCUUCAUGCACAAUAUCAUAGAGGAAUCAUAUAAUAUAAUAAUAAUUGUUUCCAUAAUAAAUAUAAUCUAUGGUGGAGAUGAUGAUGAUGAUGAUGAUGAUGAUGAAACAUGUCUUUUGCUGUGUUAGUUAUUUUGUAAUUUUUCACCUUCUGAACAAAACAAUUAUACAGUAUACUAUAUGGAAGAUCUUAUUAUGGUUUCCUUUUUCUUUUCCUGCUUCCCUACAUUAUUAACGUGCUAAUUAGGAAUCACUCACUGUAACAGAUUUUCACAUGGCAACCAAAAACUUACCAUUUACAGUGCUCAUUGAGAUUUUAUUGGAAAAACACAGCUGGUGCAGGUAUUAAUUAAAUAAUAUUUGGUCUGUUAAAUAAAAAUCAAAACGACAUGCUCAGUUCUGAGCAGCAGAUGGCAGUCUUGUCUUUGUUUUUAUUUUUCUUGUAACAUGGCCUUUAAAAGACUAUAAAAGGCAAUAA